rnacentral:tRNA from 1 species
GAGGGUAUAGUUCAACUGGUAGAGUGCUUGUUCAGCAUGCACAGGGUCCUGGGUUCAAUCCCUAGUACCUCCA